ACAGCAUUCACAUAGCGUCACAACAUUCACGCAACAUUCACAUAGCGUCAAAACAUUAACACGAUAUUCACAUAGCGUCACGACAUUCACACAACAUUCACAUAGCGUCACAACAUUCACACGACAUUCACAUAGCGUCACGACACUCACGCGACAUUCACACAACAUUCACAUAGCGUCACAACAUUCACAUAGCGUCACAACAUUCACACAACAUUCACAUAGCGUCACAACAUUCACACGACAUUCACAUAGCGUCACGACAUUCGCACGACAUUCACAUAGCGUCACAACAUGCACACGACAUUCACAUAGCGUCACAACAUUCACAUAGCGUCACGACAUUCACACAACAUUCAGAUAGCGUCAAAACAUUAACACGACAUUCACGCAACAUUCACAUAGCGUCACGACAUUCACACAACAUUCAGAUAGCGUCACGACAUUCACACGACAUUCACAUAGCGUCACGACAUUCACACGACUUUCACACAACAUUCACAUAGCGUCACAACAUUUACACGACAUUCACAUAGCGUCACGACAUUCACACGACAUUCACAUAGCGUCACGACAUUCACAUAGCGUCACGACAUUCACACGACAUUCACAUAGCGUCACGACAUUCACCCAACAUUCACAUAGCGUCACGACAUUCACAUAGCGUCACGACAUUCACACAACAUUCACGUAUGAUUUAAUCUCGGUUAGCUCAUGGUAAUCCUGUUAAACUCAUGGUGAUCUCGGUAAACUCAUGGUAAUAUUGCUCAACAUAUGGUAAUCUUGGUAAACUCAUGGUAAUAUUGCUCAACAUAUGGUAAUCUUGGUAAACUCAUGGUAAUAUUGCUCAACAUAUGGUAAUCUUGGUAAACUCAUGGUAAUAUUGCUCAACAUAUGGUAAUCUUGGUAAACUCAUGGUAAUAUUGAUCAACAUAUGGUAAUCUUGGUAAACUCAUGGUAAUAUUGCUCAACAUAUGGUAAUCUUGGUAAACUCAUGGUAAUAUUGCUCAACAUAUGGUAAUCUUGGUAAACUCAUGGUAAUAUUGGUAAAUUCAUGGUAAUCCCAGUUAACGUAUGGUAAUCCUAGUCCAUUCAUGGUAAUCUCAGUCAACAUGGUAAUCCUGGUAAACUCAUGAUAAUCUCAGUUAACGCAUGGUAAUCCUGGUAAACUCAUGGUAAUCUCAGUCAACAUAUGGUAAUCCUGGUAAACUCAUGGUAAUCUCAGUUAACGUAUGGUAAUCCUGGUGAACCCAUGGUAAUCUCGGCUAACGUAUGGUAAUCCUGGUAAACUCAUGGUAAUCUCAGUUAACGUGUGGUAAUCCUGGUAAACUCAUGGUAAUCUCAGUCAACAUAUGGUAAUCCUGGUAAACUCAUGGUAAUAUCAGUUAACGUGUGGUAAUCCUGGUAAACUCAUGGUAAUCUCAGUCAACAUGGUAAUCCUGGUAAACUCAUGGUAAUAUCAGUUAACGUAUGGUAAUCCUGGUAAACUCAUGGUAAUCUCAGUUAACGUGUGGUAAUUUUGGUAAACCCAUGGUAAUCUCAGUUAACGUAUGGUAAUCCUGAUAAACUCAUGGUAAUCAGUUAACAUAUGGUAAUCUUGGUAAACUCAUGGUAAUAUUGCUUAACAUAUGGUAAUACGUACUGGUAAACUCAUGGUAAUCUCAGUCAACAUACGGUAAUCCUGGUAAACUCAUGGUAAUAUCAGUUAACGUAUGGUAAUCCUGGUAAACUCAUGGUAAUCUCUGUUAACGUGUGGUAAUCCUGGUAAACCCAUGGUGAUCUCAGUUAAUGUAUGGUAAUUCUGGUAAACCCAUGGUAAUCUCUGUUAACAUAUGGUAAUCCUGGUAAUCUCUGUUAACGUAUGGUAAUCCUGGUAAACGCAUGGUGAUCUCAGUUAACAUAUGGUAAUCUUGGUAAACUCAUGGUAUUAUUGCUUAACAUAUGGUAAUCCUGGUAAACUCAUGGUAAUAUCAGUUAACGUGUGGUAAUCUUGGUAAACCCAUGGUAAUCUCAGUUAACGUGUGGUAAUCUUGGUAAACCCAUGGUAAUCUCUGUUAACGUAUGGUAAUCCUGGUAAUCUCUGUUAACAUAUGGUAAUCCUGAUAAACUCAUGGUAAUCUCUGUUAACGUGGUAAUCCUGGUAAACCCAUGGUAAUCUCUGUUAACGUAUGGUAAUCCUGGUAAACUCAUGGUAAUCUUGGCUAACGUAUGGUACUCCUGGUAAACUCAUGGUAAUCUCGGCUAUCGUAUGGUAAUCCUGGUAAACCCAUGGUAAUCUCAGUUAACGUAUGGUAAUCCUGGUAAACGCAUGGUAAUCCUGGUAAACUCAUGGUAAUCUUGGCUAACAUAUGGUAAUCCUGGUAAACCCAUGGUAAUUAGUUAACGUAUGGUAAUCCUGGUAAACUCAUGGUAAUCUCAGUUAACGUAUGGUAAUCCUGGUAAACCCAUGGUAAUCUUGGUAAACCCAUGGUAAUCUCGGCUAUCGUAUGGUAAUCCUGGUAAACCCAUGGUGAUCUCAGUUAACUUAUGGUAAUCCUGGUAAACUCAUGGUAAUCCUGGUAAACUCAUGGUAAUCUUGGCUAACGUAUGGUAAUCCUGGUAAACUCAUGGUAAUCUCUGUUAACGUGUGGUAAUCCUGGUAAACCCAUGGUAAUCUCAGUUAACGUAUGGUAAUGCUGGUAAACCCAUGGUAAUAUCAGUUAACGUAUGGUAAUCCUGGUAAACCCAUGGUAAUCUCGGCUAACGUAUGGUAAUCCUGGUAAACUCAUGGUAAUCUCUGUUAACGUGUGGUAAUCUUGGUAAACUCAUGGUAAUCUCUGUUAACGUAUGGUAAUUCUGGUAAACUCAUGGUAAUCUCAGUUAACGUGGUAAUCCUGGUAAACCCAUGGUAAUCUCAGUUAACGUGUGGUAAUUUUGGUAAACCCAUGGUAAUCUCGGCUAUCGUAUGGUAAUCCUGGUAAACCCAUGGUAAUCUCGGCUAACCUUGUGGCGAUGUCGCUGAGACUUAUGCUAAUGAGGGUAACUUAUUUUAAUGUCACACGGGAAUCUGGAUGGAGCGCGCGCUAAGCACUGUUAAUUCGUGCCCUUGUAUGCUAAUUUAUGGUAAUAUGUGCGUGACGUCUGAUAAUUUAUGGUAAUAUAUGCGAACAAGCGUUGAUUUAUGUUAAUAUAUGCGUGAAGUCUGCUAAUUUAUUGUUAUGUGUGUUAACCUUGGUCCAUAUAUAGUCCACCCUCAGUCCUUAUAGUCCACCCUCAGUCCUUAUAGUCCAUCCUCCGUUCAUAUAGUCCACCCUCAGUCAUUAUAGUCCACCCUCAGUCUUUUUAGUCCACCCUCAGUCCAUAUAGUCCACCCUCAGUCCUUAUAGUCCACCCUCAGUCAUUAUAGUCCACCCUCAGUCGAUAGAGUCCACCAUCCGUUCAUAUAGUCCACCCUCAGUCCAUAUAGUCCACCAUCCGUUCAUAUAGUCCACCCUCAGUCCACCAUCAGUCCAUAUAGUCCACCAUCCGUUCAUAUAGUCCACCCUCAGUCCAC